rnacentral:rRNA from 1 species
UACAGAGGUCUCGAGCGUUAGGCGGAAUCACUGGGCUUAAAGCGUGUGUAGGCGGGUCGUUAAGUGCCUUGUGAAAUCCCAUGGCUCAACCAUGGAACUGCUGGGCAUACUGGCGAUCUUGUGCAACCUAGGGGCGAGCGGAACAGAUGGUGGAGCGGUGAAAUGCGUAGAUAUCAUCUGGAACGCCAAUGGGGAAAACAGCUCGCUGGGGGUUUGCAGACGCUGAGACACGAAAGCCAGGGGAGCGAACGGG